AGAGUUUGAUCCUGGCUCAGGACGAACGCUGGCGGCGUGCCUAAUACAUGCAAGUCGAGCGGACAGAUGGGAGCUUGCUCCCUGAUGUUAGCGGCGGACGGGUGAGUAACACGUGGGUAACCUGCCUGUAAGACUGGGAUAGCUCCGGGAAACCGGGGCUAAUACCGGAUGGUUGUUUGAACCGCAUGGUUCAAACAUAAAAGGUGGCUUUGGCUACCACUUACAGAUGGACCCGCGGCGCAUUAGCUAGUUGGUGAGGUAACGGCUCACCAAGGCAACGAUGCGUAGCCGACCUGAGAGGGUGAUCGGCCACACUGGGACUGAGACACGGCCCAGACUCCUACGGGAGGCAGCAGUAGGGAAUCUUCCGCAAUGGACGAAAGUCUGACGGAGCAACGCCGCGUGAGUGAUGAAGGUUUUCGGAUCGUAAAGCUCUGUUGUUAGGGAAGAACAAGUACCGUUCGAAUAGGGCGGUACCUUGACGGUACCUAACCAGAAAGCCACGGCUAACUACGUGCCAGCAGCCGCGGUAAUACGUAGGUGGCAAGCGUUGUCCGGAAUUAUUGGGCGUAAAGGGCUCGCAGGCGGUUUCUUAAGUCUGAUGUGAAAGCCCCCGGCUCAACCGGGGAGGGUCAUUGGAAACUGGGGAACUUGAGUGCAGAAGAGGAGAGUGGAAUUCCACGUGUAGCGGUGAAAUGCGUAGAGAUGUGGAGGAACACCAGUGGCGAAGGCGACUCUCUGGUCUGUAACUGANGCUGAGGAGCGAAAGCGUGGGGAGCGAACAGGAUUAGAUACCCUGGUAGUCCACGCCGUAAACGAUGAGUGCUAAGUGUUAGGGGGUUUCCGCCCCUUAGUGCUGCAGCUAACGCAUUAAGCACNCCGCCUGGGGAGUACGGUCGCCAAGACUGAAACUCAAAGGAAUUGACGG
rnacentral:rRNA from 1 species